GAACAGAGAGGAAAACAGCAAGGCACUGGGUCCGUGUGAUUCUGUGGGCAGCCAUCCUCCUGCCUGUCCAGCGAAGAGAAGGGAAGGAGGAACAUCUGUGAAACAGUUCAUUCUCUUCUGGGAACAAGGUAUAUUUGCCAGAGGCAUGCUGGUGUCUCUGCCUUUCCCUGACAGAGAGAAAUGGUAUCCCUGCAAACUGCUGACAGAAUCAGAUACUUCCUAACUUCCUCAUUCACUUAACUUUCUUGACGGAGAGCGGGAUGUUGAGCCUACCAAUCUGUCUCAGUGUGUGCUGAGG